rnacentral:rRNA from 1 species
GGUUCGUACCUGAAGACCGGUUUCCCAACCGGCGAAGGAGGGACCGGCCACGGUAGGGUCAGCGACUGGGGUG